AACGAACGCUGGCGGCAUGCCUAACACAUGCAAGUCGAACGAGACCUUCGGGUCUAGUGGCGCACGGGUGCGUAACGCGUGGGAACCUGCCCUUAGGUUCGGAAUAACUCCCCGAAAGGGGUGCUAAUACCGGAUAAUGUCUUCGGACCAAAGAUUUAUCGCCUUUGGAUGGGCCCGCGUUGGAUUAGCUAGUUGGUAGGGUAAAAGCCUACCAAGGCGACGAUCCAUAGCUGGUCUGAGAGGAUGAUCAGCCACACUGGGACUGAGACACGGCCCAGACUCCUACGGGAGGCAGCAGUGGGGAAUAUUGGACGAGGGGCGAAAGCCUGAUCCAGCAAUGCCGCGUGAGUGAUGAAGGCCUUAGGGUUGUAAAGCUCUUUUACCCGGGAUGAUAAUGACAGUACCGGGAGAAUAAGCUCCGGCUAACUCCGUG
rnacentral:rRNA from 1 species